UGGGGAAUAUUGGACAAUGGGGGGAACCCUGAUCCAGCCAUGCCGCGUGUGUGAAGAAGGCCUUAUGGUUGUAAAGCACUUUAAGCGAGGAGGAGGGUACUGGUAUUAAUACUACCAGCUACUGGACGUUACUCGCAGAAUAAGCACCGGCUAACUCUGUGCCAGCAGCCGCGGUAAUACAGAGGGUGCAAGCGUUAAUCGGAAUUACUGGGCGUAAAGCGCGCGUAGGCGGCUAAUUGAGUCGGAUGUGAAAUCCCCGAGCUUAACUUGGGAAUUGCAUUCGAUACUGGUUAGCUAGAGUGUGGGAGAGGAUGGUAGAAUUCCAGGUGUAGCGGUGAAAUGCGUAGAGAUCUGGAGGAAUACCGAUGGCGAAGGCAGCCAUCUGGCCUAACACUGACGCUGAGGUACGAAAGCAUGGGGAGCAAACAGG
rnacentral:rRNA from 1 species